AAGGGUGUGGUUCAGUGGUAGAAUGUUUGCCUAGCAUAAGGCCUUGGGUUUGAUUCACAAUAAUCAGG
rnacentral:tRNA from 1 species